rnacentral:rRNA from 1 species
UACGGAAGGCAGCAGUGGGGAAUAUUGCACAAUGGGCGCAAGCCUGAUGCAGCCAUGCCGCGUGUAUGAAGAAGGCCUUCGGGUUGUAAAGUACUUUCAGUCGUGAGGAAGGUGUUAAGGUUAAUAACCUUAGCAAUUGACGUUAGCGACAGAAGAAGCACCGGCUAACUCCGUGCCAGCAGCCGCGGUAAUACGGAGGGUGCGAGCGUUAAUCGGAAUUACUGGGCGUAAAAGGGCACGCAGGCGGUUAAUUAAGUUGGAUGUGAAAUCCCCGGGCUUAACCUGGGAAUGGCAUUCAAGACUGGUUAGCUAGAGUCUUGUAGAGGGGGUAGAAUUCCAUGUGUAGCGGUGAAAUGCGUAGAGAUGUGGAGGAAUACCGGUGGCGAAAGGCGGCCCCUGGACAAAGACUGACGCUCAUGUGCGAAAGCGUGGGGAGCAAACAGGAUUAGAUACC